UUACAAAUGAAGUUCGCAAAAUAGAGCUGACAGCGGAAAAGAAAAUCAAUCGCAGAGUCACGUACAAGCAUUGAAAAUGAAAAUAUUGGAGUAUUGUUUGGUUACCGCUUUGCUGUGCCUAAUUUCUACGGCCGCCGACAAUGGGAUGGAGGAGUUCGAUGAUGCUGCUCGAUAUGCAAUCGAGGGCAAAGUGUAUCCACCAGAGUUGUACGGGGGAGACUCAGAACUCGGCUGGCAACUCGACACACAAAUAUCCAUCAACGGUGGUGAAUACAAGGGAUUUCUUCGGGAAGACGGCACUUUUCUGAUCAGCUCGGUGCCAUCCGGCAGUUAUGUGGUUGAAAUUGUAAAUCCGGACUAUUAUUACGAACCCGUGAGGGUAGAAAUCAAUCCCAAAGGAAAGUUCCGUGCUCGUAAGCUGAAUUAUGUUCAGCCAUCCCAAGUGCUGCAGCUGCCCUAUCCCCUGAAGCUGAAAGCUCUUACCCGAUUCCGGUAUUUCCAGCAGCGCGAACAGUGGAAAAUUACAGACUUUCUGUUUAAUCCGAUGGUGCUGAUGAUGAUAUUGCCAUUGGGUAUAAUGCUUAUUCUACCGAAAAUCAUGAGUGAUCCAGAAACGAAGAAGGAAAUGGAAAAUUUAAACUUAUCCAAGAUGACGAACGAUUUGCCCGAAUUCAGUGAAAUGCUUACUUCUUACUUCACUAGUGGUUCUGCUGGAGCUGCUGCAGCCGCUGCCAAAGCUGGAAAGGAGAAGGAUAAAGCCAAACCAAAGCAAAGCAAAAAGAAAAACUAAUCCAUCUUAGCACAUUGUAAAGGAGGACAAGAAAGAAUAUCGAAAAACGAGUUUUUAAUCAAUAAGCGCAUGGCAAUUGUUUGUUACUAAAGCCGCGGAAGUGUUAACCCAUUCCUAGCUUUCUCAGAUUAUUUUACCUGCAGCUAGAUUGUCAGUCUAACAUUUGAGAAAGCAGUCUACUAUCAAUAAACUUCUGGGCCACUUCCAUUUGCUGCAUGGUCGCAUCAA